CCUACGGGUGGCAGCAGUGGGGAAUAUUGGACAAUGGGGGGAACCCUGAUCCAGCGACGCCGCGUGAGUGAAGAAGUAUUUCGGUAUGUAAAGCUCUAUCAGCAGGGAAGAAAGAAAUGACGGUACCUGACUAAGAAGCCCCGGCUAACUACGCGCCAGCAGCCGCGGUAAUACGUAGGGGGCAAGCGUUAUCCGGAUUUACUGGGUGUAAAGGGAGCGUAGACGGCGAUGCAAGUCUGAAGUGAAAGGCGGGGGCCCAACCCCCGGACUGCUUUGGAAACUGGAUGGCUGGAGUGCAGGGGAGGUAAGUGGAAUUCCUAGUGUAGCGGUGAAAUGCGUAGAUAUUAGGAGGAACACCAGUGGCGAAGGCGGCUUACUGGACUGUAACUGACGUUGAGGCUCGAAAGCGUGGGGAGCAAACAGGAUUAGAUACCCUUGUAGUC
rnacentral:rRNA from 1 species